rnacentral:misc_RNA from 1 species
UUAAAAUCCCUUUUCUCUAUGGUAUCAUUACUCACUUUAUUAUAGAUUCUUGAAUUAUAUCAUUCUUCAACUUCGCAAAAAAAAUUUAAAAAAAGUGCUCACUCUUUUGUGAGCUCAAAAGAUUGUUUUUUUUUGGGAUUUUGAGUCUGUUAGCUAUGAAGGGUGUGUUGUUUCUUGGUUUGUUUUUGUUUUUUCAAGUUCCAUUUUCAUCAUCUCAGUUAGUUCCUGCAGAAAGUAGAAUCCUUUUUCAAAUUCAACAGUUUCUUGAAAAUCCACCUGUUCUUCAACAAUGGAAUAAAUGGACAAAUUUUUGUUUUAUCCCACAAUCUCCUUCUCUUGUUAUCACUUGUUCUGGUAAUCAUAUAACUGAGUUAACAAUUGUUGGUAACAAAAAAUCCCCUUUUGAGUCUUUAAAAUCCUCAUCUCCACAAGCCCUUUCUGGGAAAUUUUCAAUUGAUUCAUUUUUCACUGUUGUUACUAAGCUUUCUAGUUUAAAAAAGCUAUCUUUAGUGUCUCUUGGUUUGUGGGGUUCAUUGCCUGCUAAGAUUAGUAGGUUACAUUCACUUGAGGUACUUAAUAUUAGUUCAAAUUUCAUUCUUGGUGAGAUUCCAUCAUCUAUAGUGAAUUUAAAGAACCUGAAAUCUCUUGUUUUAGCUAGAAAUUUGUUUAAUGGAAGUGUACCAGAUCUGAAAGGGUUAAAGUUACUUGAAGAGUUGGAUUUGAGUGGUAAUAAUUUAGGACCAAAGUUUCCAUCUUUAGGUGAUUACAAUAACAAUAAUCUUGUCUCAUUGAAUUUGAGUAACAAUUUCUUUAGAUCAGAAAUACCUAAUGGAUUCAACAAGUUUACUCAUUUGCAAAAUCUUGAUUUGUCUUCUAACAAACUUGUUGGUCCAAUGCCUGCUUUUCUGUUUUCACUUCCAGCAAUUCAGUCUAUUAGUAUUGCUAAGAAUCAGCUUAGUGGUGCUCUUCCAGGAAGUGUGUCUUGUAGCAACAAUCUAAAAUUUGUCGAUUUUUCGAGUAAUUUAUUGAUUGGAAAGUUGCCUACUUGUCUUGGAUCAAGUUCAAGAAACAGGACAGUGAUUAAUGUUUGGAAUUGUUUGUCAAGUACUAGUACUAAGUCUCAACAUCCACAUACAUUUUGUGAGAAACAAGCUAUAGCUGUUAAGCCCCCUCCAAGAACUAGUGGUGAAAAGGAACAAUCCACAGUUAAGCUUGGUGUUGUUUUAGGACUUAUUGCUGGUAUUGUUGUAGUUGUGGGUGCAUUUGGUUUGCUGAUCUUUUUCAUUGUGAAGAAGGUUAUGAGAAAUAGAGUUGAAAGUUAUAGAAAUGACAGCUUUGCUUUUGAGAAGAAUUCAACCCUUUCAAAAACUACUGAUGGAGGGAAUGCAAGGAGGACAAUGAGAAUGGUAUCAUUAGGACUUCCACCAUAUCAUGUUUUCACUUUAGAGGAAAUGGAAGAAGCAACAAACAGUUUUGAUCCAACUAAUCUGGUUGGAGAAGGUUCCCAGGGUCAGCUAUAUAGAGGUUGGCUUAGAGAUGGAUCAGUGGUCCUAGUAAAAUGUCUGAAAUUGAAGCAGAAGCAUUCACCUCAAAUUCUGCAGCAGCACAUGGAGAUGAUAUCAAAGCUAAGGCAUCGACAUUUAGUCAGUGUUCUUGGACACUGUGUUGUUACUUACCAAGAUCAUCCAAAUACAGCUAGCACUGUAUUUAUUGUGCUUGAAAACGUCGUCAAUGGAUCUCUUAAGGAUCAUCUUAAUGAUUGGAGGAAAAGGGAUGUAUUGAAAUGGCCACAAAGAAUGGGGAUUACAAUGGGGAUUGCAAAAGGAAUUCAGUAUUUGCAUACUGGAGGAGUCACCGGAAAUGAUAUAAAGCUUGAGAAUAUUUUGUUGGAUGAGACACUUACUGCUAGAAUAAGCAGCUACAAUAUAUCGUUGCCACCUAAGGUUGGUUCAGAAAGUCCUCUUGCUGGACCAGACCACUUUACCAGCGCGAAGGAAGCAGAAAAGGAAGACAUUUAUCAGUUGGGAAUUAUUCUACUAGAGGUUAUUAUUGGUAGACCAAUCAACUCUCGAAGCGAAGCAGAAGACCUUAAGCUUCAGGUGGAGACUGCCUUAUCGGAAUCACCAUCAAAGCUACGAGAUUUAACAGAUCCUUGUAUACGAGGUACGUUUGCAUAUGACUCAUUGAAAACGACAGUCCAGAUAGCAAUAAACUGCCUUGAUAAAGAACCAAGCAGGCGGCCAUCAGUCGAAGACGUUCUCUGGCAUAUGCAAUACUCAAUUCAGGUUCAAGAAGGAGCAACUAACAGUGGAAACCUCAGUGGGAACCAAAGUGGGAAACUCAGUGGAAAAAUAAGUGGAAAUCUUAAUAAUAAGUUUUACUGAUAAUAGAGAACUGUCAUUAUAUUGUUAUAUCUUGUUGUUUAGUCAUUUGUAUGCAUCUUGUACAGCACAGUUCAGUAACUUACUGAAUAAAUGAUUUUGCUUUCUACAUCACAAAAAUGUACACCAAAGUUUAC